GUUCUAGAUGUCGCUGAAAAAGAAUCCGGUAACCGUUUUUAAAUUCAAGGUGACGGAUCCACAUUUGUGGACACCAUUUUUGUAAUUUUUGACCGCUUUCUUUAAAUAGCUGUAUAGGGGGCCAGACAGCAUCAACAUUUUUUCAUGUGCUCAACACAUUUUUUCACCCACAAGAUAAGUGUACAGGGGGGGGCUGGUUUGAAAAAGACAUCCCAUUAUACAUACGCACAUUUGUAGUAUGUAUGUAUGGAUGUAUAUGUAUUUGACUCCCUUAUCAGCUAUAAUCUGUGAAAUGAUUCAAAGGCCUGUCAACUAUCAUCGUUGUCAUAAAUAUUACACGUAAAGUAAAUAAAAACCUAAAAGCGUUAAAUAAGCGAUCAAAAUAUGCGAAAUGUUUUGGAAUUUUGCAAUUUUGUUGGUAAACAAAAAACUCUGAAAAAUGUGUCACAGCGAUAAAAUUGAGUAUCUGCUUAUCAAAACAAAAUGAUAAGUGGCAUGCUUACAUGCAUAUGUAUAUAUGUACAUAUGUAUCUACUUCGACUACAGAUAUUUGACCGAGUUUCAACGCUACCAUAAAAGGCGAAAAUUUUUGCAAUCCAACACAAUAGCAACUAAAUUGGCAGUUAACGGUGCUGCACUGAAAUUGAGCGCGAAAAAAAUCCAGCAGUAAUCAAGAGGAAUUAAAAUUAAGUUACAAUUAAAACGAAAGUAUUGUACGGGGAAAUAAGCAGCAAGCGAACAUAAUGGGCUCGAUGAAAAGUUUGGUGCUACAUUUGUUGUUGCUAUCACUGUGUGCUAUGCGUGCAACAAGUUUACCCACGGAAUUGACGACAACACAACAAACCGAAGAACCUUUAAUCCCACAAACGACUGUGGAGGCUGCGGCAAAUGAGGUUAUGCUAGCAACGGUCGGCAUAGUCGGAUGAUGGCGGCGAUGCUGUGCAGGCGGUUGUUACGUCGACGUUGAUGCCGUUUUUGCCGACGGAUGAGCUUCCGCCAAGUAAAGUAAAAUGCGUCAAAGUUGGGGGAUUUUGCCAUUUGGCGGACGUUUGCUGCACGAAACGCUGCCUUACCUUCGCAAGACGAUGUGUAACAUAAUUUUUUGAGCGACAAAAUAAAUUCUGUUAUUGAUAUUUUCCAAG